GUUUUUUAUCUGUUUAUUUUGGGAUUACAUAAUGAGAAAUGCUACAUCUCAAUGAUCCUUAACCUCAGAUGAAUUCAAUUCUCAAAAGUCAAAACAUAAAUACUAUUUUCCCAACACAAAUGUCGCACUAUAAUAGCAAUUAGGGAGUUCUCUGGAUUUACAGCUCCAAUUGUACUUUUUUCUGACAAGCAGACAAAAGUCCUCUCCAAAUGAGAUAGAACCCCUAUCCUAGGCAAUGAUCAAGCGGUUCUUUCU
rnacentral:misc_RNA from 1 species